GCUUCCCAUCUCACACAGACAGGCAGGUUCACCUCACAGAGGCCCUCAGAGAUCCAGCCAUUUCUCCACAAUGGGGUCCUUCUUCCCAGUACUCCUGAUGCUGGCUGUCUUCUUUUCCCGAGGCCUCUCACAAAUAGUCCUGACCCAGUCAGAUCCAGCACUGAAGAAACCAGGAGAAGCCCAUAAACUGACUUGUGCUGUGACUGGAUUCGAUGUCAACAGCUACGCUAUGGAUUGGGUCAGGCAGAAACCUGGGGAAGGCCUGGAAUGGCUUGUAUACUAUUACAGCUCUGGUAGCAACUAUUAUUCCCCAACCAUCCAAGGACGAUUUACUGCCUCCAAAGACAGUUCCAACUUCUAUCUGCAAAUGAACAACCUCAAGCCAGAGGACACAGCAGUCUAUUACUGUGCAAAAGACACAGAUAACACUCAGAGAAUGGUGACAGGCUAA